AUUGAACGCUGGCGGCAGGCCUAACACAUGCAAGUCGAGCGGAUGAGAGGAGCUUGCUCUUUGAUUCAGCGGCGGACGGGUGAGUAAUGCCUAGGAAUCUGCCUGGUAGUGGGGGACAACGUUUCGAAAGGAACGCUAAUACCGCAUACGUCCUACGGGAGAAAGUGGGGACCUUCGGGCCUUGCGCUAUCAGAUGAGCCUAGGUCGGAUUAGCUAGUAGGUGGGGUAAUGGCUCACCUAGGCGACGAUCCGUAACUGGUCUGAGAGGAUGAUCAGUCACACUGGAACUGAGACACGGUCCAGACUCCUACGGGAGGCAGCAGUGGGGAAUAUUGGACAAUGGGCGAAAGCCUGAUCCAGCCAUGCCGCGUGUGUGAAGAAGGUCUUCGGAUUGUAAAGCACUUUAAGUUGGGAGGAAGGGCAGUAAGUUAAUACCUUGCUGUUUUGACGUUACCAACAGAAUAAGCACCGGCUAACUUCGUGCCAGCCGCCGCCGUAACAC
rnacentral:rRNA from 1 species